rnacentral:misc_RNA from 1 species
GUGAUUUGGCUGAGAGGCCUUUAUCCAAUCCUCACACCUGUGAACUUGUCGGAGGGCUGGUCCCUCUGUCACCACAAACAAUGUGUAAUGAAUGUAACAUAUAUAACAAUAAACA